GCCCAUAUAGCUCAGUCGGUAGAGCGCGUCCUUGGUAAGGACGAGGUCACCGGUUCAAAUCCGGUUAUGGGCU
rnacentral:tRNA from 1 species